AUGAGGUAAAACAGGACCGCAGACCCCGAAAACGAGGCUCCGGCACUGGCUCGAGUUUGCCCCGCGGGAGCUCAGCAAAAGCAUGCAUGCGGACGAAACGUGUGCUUGUGUGUGAACACGGGGGAAGCGCAUUUGAACACGUGCAGAGUGUUCGUCACUCUCCGCGCGGAGUAAGCGCAGCCCGGGAGGUACCUGGCGAAGGGCUUCUACGUCAAAGGGUAGUGCACGCGGUUUCCAAGUAGGCUCAAAAGCGGCGGAGACAAUCCUGGACUAUUUUGAGCUACAAGCCUGGUGGAUCAGCGGAAUACUGCGGACCUGGUGUAUCUUGAUUUCAGUAAGGCUUUUGACAAAACCCCACAUGCAAGGAAACUGCAUGUAACUGACCAGAACAGACGGGUCUGAACUUGCUCAAAGUUCAGACUGCAUGUUUGAAACUAUAUUGUGAAUUUUGCACCCAAGAGUAAUCUACCUGGCUUCUUGCUGCUGCGUGGGACAACACAUGAAUCACACCUUUG